rnacentral:rRNA from 1 species
UACGGAGGGGGCUAGCGUUGUUCGGAAUUACUGGGCGUAAAGCGCACGUAGGCGGCUUUGUAAGUUAGAGGUGAAAGCCCGGGGCUCAACUCCGGAAUUGCCUUUAAAACUGCACCGCUAGAAUUGUGGAGAGGUAAGUGGAAUUCCGAGUGUAGAGGUGAAAUUCGUAGAUAUUCGGAAGAACACCAGUGGCGAAGGCGACUUACUGGACACAUAUUGACGCUGAGGUGCGAAAGCGUGGGGAGCAAACAGG